GGGGCUGUUCCGGUUUCGACGGGUAACGGAACACAUGACAUAAGCAUGCGGAAGGGACGCGCCUCCCUCAUCAACGCGUAAAGCAAUCAAAUGCUAACAAAACUUCUUCCAAGGUAAGCGCGCCCGCUUUCGGCGGCGCUCUUGCUUGCGCGGCCUAAUUUCCCGCGCCGUCCUCCCGGGAGCUCACCGACUCGGGCGGGGCGUCAACAGGUGAAAACUUUCGCGGCGAUCGGACAUAACCGCGAUCGUACCUCUGUCCUCGCGGCGGACGAUCCGUUCAUCUUCAAACGCCGUCAGACCCAAGGUGAACUAAGCAUGUAGAAGGUCAUCUGCGAUGUUAUUCGGACAUGGGUUCGACUCCCAUCAGCUCCACCA
rnacentral:tmRNA from 2 species